AAUAGGGGAACUCAGACUAAAACCGCCGCAUCCUGAAAGGUGCCUUAAUUUCUGCAAAGAUCGCAGAAAUUAAGGCAAAUCGAACCCUAUGCUGUUCGAUUGUCAACGUCUGAGUGACCAACUUCCUGUUGG
rnacentral:sRNA from 1 species